GAUGAACGCUAGCUACAGGCUUAACACAUGCAAGUCGAGAGGAAACGAUAGGGAAAGCUUGCUUUUCCUAGGCGUCGACCGGCGCACGGGUGAGUAACGCGUAUCCAACCUGCCCAUGUCUGGGGAAUAACCCGUCGAAAGGCGGACUAACUCCCCAUGGUCUCCGAUGAGGACAUCUGAAUUGGAGUAAAGCUUUGCGGACAUGGAUGGGGAUGCGUCUGAUUAGGUAGUAGGCGGGGUAACGGCCCACCUAGCCUACGAUCAGUAGGGGUUCUGAGAGGAAGGUCCCCCACAUUGGAACUGAGACACGGUCCAAACUCCUACGGGAGGCAGCAGUGAGGAAUAUUGGUCAAUGGACGAGAGUCUGAACCAGCCAAGUAGCGUGCAGGAUGACGGCCCUAUGGGUUGUAAACUGCUUUUGCGCGGGGAUAACACCCUCCACGUGCUGGAGGUCUGCAGGUACCGCGCGAAUAAGGACCGGCUAAUUCCGUGCCAGCAGCCGCGGUGAUACGGAAGGUCCGGGCGUUAUCCGGAUUUAUUGGGUUUAAAGGGGGCGUAGGCCGUGAGGUAAGCGUGUUGUGAAAUGUGGGCGCCCAACGUCUGCACUGCAGCGCGAACUGCCCCACUUGAGUGCGCGCAACGCCGGCGGAACUCGUCGUGUAGCGGUGAAAUGCUUAGAUAUGACGAAGAACCCCGAUUGCGAAGGCAGCUGGCGGGAGCGUAACUGACGCUGAAGCUCGAAAGCGCGGGUAUCGAACAGG
rnacentral:rRNA from 1 species